CGGAAAUUUCAGAGAAGCUCAGCAUCUGAUCGUGAAACACAAGGGAAAAGCCUAUUGAACGGAUUUUUGUACAUCAGCGAGAUCUCUUCAUUCAACGACAAUGAGUGAUGCGUUUGUUGAGUACGAUUCACAGUACGAGGGAUUAUUUCCAUCGAAAAUACACGUGAUACAUAGCCACUAGGGACGCCUAUUGCUGGAUAAUGAAUUAAUGGAGGACAGAGUAACACGAUAGAUCCGCUAGAUCGAAAUGAUAUAACGCGGAUUUCGUUUCUCAGCAAAACGUCAAAAAAGUAUCAAUCAUCACAAGCGGACAGCAGCAUGAUCGCCACUUUUAUUUCACGAGACAAGUCUAGUAGAUCAAAGCGAUCUAGUGCGAAUUUUGUGUUCCUCGGUAAAACGCAGAAAAAAGUAGCAAUCAUCAAAAACGGACAACAGAGCAUGAUCGUAUCAACUCACUGCUUCGACAGCGAAUAAAUCCAACGCGACAUAUUUUUCACAAUAUUUCACCGCUGAAAUUGCAAAAAAAGCGGAAGGAACAAACGCCAGGUCAGAGGAAGGAAAAACAAUGGAAACGCGUUUCAUGGAAAUCACAGAAACUAGAACAUCGUGCGUAGAACUGAUACGCAACUGGACAAGUCUCACUAGGAAGUCGUAUUUUUCCCUCUUUUUUUUUAUGGGCGUAUUUAUUAAUAUAAAAUCUGUCUAUAUCACCUGUUUCUAUUCCCAACGCGUUGCCCCAAGGUUAAAUGCGAACAGCGCGCUGCAUGCAUGACGAUGCCCCGAAAUCUGCUGGGAAAUGUUCCUUGUGCAACUUGUAGCCGGAAAUACGAUCUCUCGCGAAUGUUGGGUAUAACUAAUUUCGACGUUAUAAACAAGGUCAGUAGUGCAGCGACGGAGGAUAAUAUCGUUAGGCUGUGCUGCAUCACACCAGGAUUAUCGCGAUUAAUUAUGUGCGCCGGUUACGUAGACCGAAUAUACAAGAUUAUUCUCUACGAGAGUCGCUUACAUUCGGUUGUGGCUUGAAUUUGCUGAAAUCGAGUCCGACCAAGGGGGAAUUGCAGCGUUAUUGAAGAUACGCUUAAUGUAUACGCACUCUGAAUUUCGGAUAGAUCAAUUAAUUAAUCAUUAUACUC